rnacentral:rRNA from 1 species
GACGUAGGGCGCGAGCGUUGUCCGGAUUUAUUGGGCGUAAAGAGCUCGUAGGCGGCUUGUUGCGUCAGCUGUGAAAACCCGCAGCUCAACUGUGGGCUUGCAGCUGAUACGGGCAGGCUUGAGUUCGGUAGGGGAGACUGGAAUUCCUGGUGUAGCGGUGAAAUGCGCAGAUAUCAGGAGGAACACCGAUGGCGAAGGCAGCUUUCUGGGACGGUACUGACGCUGAGACGCGAAAGCGUGGGGAGCGAACAGG